rnacentral:tRNA from 3 species
GCGCCCAUAGCUCAGUUGGAUAGAGCGUUGGACUACGAAUCCAAAGGUCGCAGGUUCGAAUCCUGCUGGGCGCA